AUAGAUUUAGAAAGAGGCUGACACAUCUGGUAACUAGUUUACGGUCAUCUGCCUCUAAGCGACAUUUAGGUGCUCUGCCUGGCCCAGACCAUCCACACGCAGGAGGAUCUGCCCAGACCCUCCAUCUCGGCUGAGCCAGGCACCGUGAUCCCCCUGGGGAGCCAUGUGACUUUCGUGUGCCGGGGCCCGGUUGGGGUUCAAACAUUCCGCCUGGAGAGGGAGAGUAGAUCCACAUACAAUGAUACUGAAGAUGUGUCUCAAGCUAGUCCAUCUGAGUCAGAGGCCAGAUUCCGCAUUGACUCAGUAAGUGAAGGAAAUGCCGGGCCUUAUCGCUGCAUCUAUUAUAAGCCCCCUAAAUGGUCUGAGCAGAGUGACUACCUGGAGCUGCUGGUGAAAGAAACCUCUGGAGGCCCGGACUCCCCGGACACAGAGCCCGGCUCCUCAGCUGGACCCACGCAGAGGCCGUCGGACAACAGUCACAAUGAGCAUGCACCUGCUUCCCAAGGCCUGAAAGCUGAGCAUCUGUAUAUUCUCAUCGGGGUCUCAGUGG
rnacentral:misc_RNA from 1 species